rnacentral:rRNA from 1 species
GCGUAAUAGCUCACUGGUCGAGUCGGCCUGCGCGGAAGAUGUAACGGGGCUAAACCAUGCACCGAAGCUGCGGCAGCGACACUAUGUGUUGUUGGGUAGGGGAGCGUUCUGUAAGCCUGUGAAGGUGUACUGUGAGGUAUGCUGGAGGUAUCAGAAGUGCGAAUGCUGACAUAAGUAACGAUAAAGCGGGUGAAAAGCCCGCUCGCCGGAAGACCAAGGGUUCCUGUCCAACGUUAAUCGGGGCAGGGUGAGUCGACCCCUAAGGC